UUCCAGACUCCUACGGGAGGCAGCAGUGAGGAAUAUUGGUCAAUGGGCGCGAGCCUGAACCAGCCAAGUCGCGUGGGGGAGGACGGCCCUACGGGUUGUAAACCUCUUUUGCCGGGGAGCAACGGGCGUCACGUGUGGCGCCACUGAGAGUACCCGGAGAAAAAGCAUCGGCUAACUCCGUGCCAGCAGCCGCGGUAAUACGGAGGAUGCGAGCGUUAUCCGGAUUUAUUGGGUUUAAAGGGUGCGUAGGCGGGAUGCCAAGUCAGCGGUAAAAAUGCGGUGCUCAACGCCGUCGAGCCGUUGAAACUGGCGUUCUUGAGUGGGCGAGAAGUAUGCGGAAUGCGUGGUGUAGCGGUGAAAUGCAUAGAUAUCACGCAGAACUCCGAUUGCGAAGGCAGCAUACCGGCGCCCUACUGACGCUGAGGCACGAAAGCGUGGGUAUCGAACAGGAUUAGAUACCCUUGUA
rnacentral:rRNA from 1 species